UACAGAGGUCUCAAGCGUUGUUCGGAUUCAUUGGGCGUAAAGGGUGCGUAGGCGGCGCGGUAAGUCGGGUGUGAAAUCUUGGAGCUUAACUCCGAAACUGCAUUCGAUACUGCCGUGCUUGAGGACUGGAGAGGAGACUGGAAUUUACGGUGUAGCGGUGAAAUGCGCAGAUAUCAGGAAGAACACCCGUGGCGAAAGCGGCUCUCUGGGACGGUACUGACGCUGAGACGCGAAAGCGUGGGGAGCAAACAGG
rnacentral:rRNA from 1 species